rnacentral:lncRNA from 1 species
CAUGCACAGUGCAGGCUCUAUGCAGACAAGCAAAGUCAUCUGGUUUGAAGUGGCCUUCUUGAUCAGGAACCACCCCUUCCCUACAUCUCAUAACGUAAGGGGACAUUUUAACCCGCGUGUAAGAUGCUGGUUAACUCACGUUUGGGAAACCCAGUUUGCUGCUGUGUUCCCAGCUGCGCCUGGAACAGCCCCUCUCUUCAGGUGAUGACAGACAGUGUAGUUUGGUUUUAUGGCUCUAGUCUAAGAACUGCUUAAAUUGAUGCCUGCUUUCACCCCAGCACCGCCUUCCUUUUGAGCCCCUACUACGUGGGGACAAUUUGCAUAUUAAGAAAGAGGUAGUCCGGGCACAGCAGCUUACGCCUG